rnacentral:rRNA from 1 species
UACGAAGGGUGCAAGCGUUGUUCGGAUUUAUUGGGCGUAAAGCGCGCGUAGGCGGACCUGCAAGUCAGAUGUGAAAUCUCGGGGCUCAACCCCGAAACUGCGUCUGAAACUACAGGUCUAGAAUCUUGGAGGGGGAAGGGGAAUUUCGCAUGUAGGGGUAAAAUGCGUAGAUAUGCGGAGGAACACCAGAGGCGAAGGCGCCAUCCUGGACAAGUAUUGACGCUGAGGCGCGAAAGCGUGGGGAUCAAACAGG